UUGCUUGUUGAUGUUUUUUGUUUUUUAAUAGUAACGGGGUCUCACUUUGUUGCCCAGGCUGGUUUCGGAUUCCUGGCCUUAAGCCAUCCUCCCACCUCUACCUCCCAAAGUGCUGACAUUACAUGCAUCAGCCUCUGCUCAGCCUACCUACUCUUAUCAUUUUCUGUCUUUCACUAGACAAUUAAGUUGUUGUGGGACUUGCUUAAACCUGUAGGUAAAUUUUGGGAGAAUCCACAUGCUUACUACAUUGAGUGUUGCAAAUCCUGGAAUGGGCUUCAUAUCUCUUUUUAUUUGAUUUCUUGUCUGAUUGCUUUCAUCAGCAUUUUAGUUUUUACUACACAGAUCAUUUAAUGUGUACACCUAAGUAUUUAAUUUUUGUUAAAACAAUUGUAAAUGGUGUUUUGAGGUUUUUGUUUCCACAUAUUCUUUACAUAUAGAAUAUGUGAUUGAUUACACAUAUAUACACACACACACACACACACACACACACACACACACACACAAUAUAUAUAUAGAAAUGUGACUGACUUUUAUGAGUUGAUUUUAUAGUCUAUGCUGAAUUCACUUAUUCUAGGGGGAUUUUUUUUUUCUUUCCAAUCUGUAUGCCUUUUAUUUCUUAUCUUGCCUUUUUGCAGUGGCUAGAAUUUCCAGUGUUACGUUGUAUUAAAGAGUGAGUGUGGACAUCUUUCUUGUUCCCAGUCUUGGGAAGAAAGGAUUCAAACUUUUACCAUUAAGUAUGAUGUUAGCUAUAGGUUUUUUUUAUACAUGUUCAUUAUCAAGUACAGGUAAUCCUCAUCUCUUUGUAACUUGCUGAGAGUUUAUGAUAAAUGGGUGUUGGAUUUUGUAAAUGCUUAUUCUUGAUCAAUUAACAUGAUCAUAUUUCUCUUUAUCCUGAUGAUAUAUUUGAUCACAUUAUUUUUUGAGUGUUGAACUAGCCUUAUAUACCUGGAAUAAAUCCUACUUGGUCAUGACGUUUUGCCAAAUAAUUAUAUCUUAAGCUUACAUAAUACCAAUAUCAAACAAGAAGUACUUAAUUGUUCUGCAAAUUAACUUUCUUCACUAAGAAUAUUUGGUUUUAGUCUAAUAUUUCUAGAAAAUUACAGCAAAUAUCUUUCAAACAGAAGAUAGUUUUGAUUUUGUAGAAAGGUCAUUUAUAAUCCUAAUAAUAGAAUAAUGAUGAUAGUAGCUACCAUUUAUUGAAUUGUUUAAUUAAAUACUACAAUUAAACUUUUUUUCUUGCCAAUCUAGUGGGUGUCAGAGGUUAUGCUUGAUGGUAACGUGUCUGUGACUAUUAAUAUUUAUUGCUGCUGCCAAGGUAAAUACAUGUGCUUUGGAGAACAAUUUAGCAAAUUAGGUAACUGGAGAAACAUACUUAUACUAAUUAAAGAAACUCUAGUUACCUAAUGCACAGGAAGACAUGUCCGAGGUUGUUUAUUGCAGCCUUGUUUAUGACUGGGGAC